UUCUUUAGCUUGUGCAAAUAUUUGACAUCAGUAUUUUCAUCCAUUCAUUCUGUCUUUUACAGAUAAUAGAAGAUGCCGUGACUGAGAUGUCAAGACCCUGUUUGCCAGAAGCAAGUUCAGAACAGACACGUCAUUUAAGCCUGUUGGAGGUCCAAACCCUGGGGAGAACACCCGGCGGGUAAUGCGGGCAGUGUCCUCCUACAACGAUUGGAAGGAAUUCAGCCUAAAGGGGAAAAAAGGGAAGAGGCCGCUCCAAAACAUGAUUGUUAUGAAAGUCAUAAAAAAGGCAGUAAUGAGAUCCAAUCCUGGACUCCAGCAAGACAAAGUGGAGGACAUAGUGUCAGACACACUUAAACAUGCUCCAGCAAGGUGCCAGAAUGUGAGCUUCUUUUCUAGUUCAAUCUUCA